rnacentral:rRNA from 1 species
AAAACAUGUCUUUUUAGAAAUAAAUAAAAAGUCUAACCUGCCCACUGAAAAUAAUUGAAGGGCCGCGGUAUUUUGACCGUGCAAAGGUAGCAUAAUCAUUAGUCUUUUAAUUGGAGGCUCGUAUGAAUGGUUGAAUGAAGUAUAAGCUGUAUCAUAAAAAUUUAAAAUUGAAUUUUAUUUUUUAGUUAAAACGCUAAAAUAAAAUUAAAAGACGAGAAGACCCUAUAAAGCUUUACAAUUAUAAUUUAUUAUUUAUGAAGAAUUAUUUAAAUUUUAUUUUGAUAAUUGUUUUGUUGGGGUGACAAUAAGAUUUAAAAAACUCUUAAACUUUUUAUACAUUAAUUUAUGAUUUAUUGAUCCGAUUUUAUCGAUUAAAAAUUUAAGUUACUUUAGGGAU